GAGAAACAGCUACGCUUGUCUUCUACUUGAAGAGGAAAAAUGCUUUGAUUGUGAUACAGUGACACCUGGCUGUGCCACUGGGCAUAUGGGAUGGGCUGAGCAACCAUAUGACCAAUAUCCUCUAGCAAGGGCUAGAACCUGGAAGCGUUGUCAGCGAAAACUGAAUUCUCUGAGCUGAGGACUCAGCUGAAUAUUGGAGGUAGAAGCAGCUUUUCAGCCAUUUGUCAUCAUGCAAUGGCUGUGGAUUCAGUGACCUGCAA